rnacentral:rRNA from 1 species
CCAACAGGGAUGGCCCCAGUAACGGCGAGUGAAGCGGCCACAGCUCAAAUUUGAAAUCUGGCCCCAGGCCCGAGUUGUAAUUUGCAGAGGAUGCUUCGGGCGCGGUGCCUUCCAAGUCCCCUGGAACGGGGCGCCACAGAGGGUGAGAGCCCCGUACGGUUGGACGCCAAGCCUGUGUGAAGCUCCUUCGACGAGUCGAGUAGUUUGGGAAUGCUGCUCUAAAUGGGAGGUAGACCCCUUCUAAAGCUAAAUACCGGCUGGAGACCGAUAGCGCACAAGUAGAGUGAUCGAAAGAUGAAAAGAACUUUGAAAAGAGGGUUAAACAGCACGUGAAAUUGUUGAAAGGGAAGCGCUUGUGACCAGACUUGCGCCGGGGCGAUCCUCUGGCGUUCUCGCCAGGGCACUCGCCCCGGGGCAGGCCAGCGUCGGUUUGGGCGGGGGGACAAGGACGUUGGGCACGUAGCUCCCCCGGGAGUGUUAUAGCCCGUCGUGCGAUGCCCCCUCCCGGACCGAGGUACGCGCUCUGCAAGGACGCUGGCGUAAUGGUCACCAGCGGCCCGUCUUGAAACACGGACCAAGGAGUCGAGGUUCUGCGCGAGUGUUUGGGUGCCAAACCCGCACGCGCAAUGAAAGUGAACGUAGGUGGGAGCCUCGGCGCACCACCGACCGAUCCUGAUGUUCUCGGAUGGAUUUGAGUAAGAGCGUUGGGCCUCGGACCCGAAAGAUGGUGAACUAUGCUUGGAUAGGGUGAAGCCAGAGGAAACUCUGGUGGAGGCUCGCAGCGGUUCUGACGUGCAAAUCGAUCGUCAAAUCUGAGCAUGGGGGGCGAAAGACUAAUCGAACCAU